AUGCUUCUUCUAUCUAACGUCUAACUUAAAGGUGCAUUGCUGCCACCUACAGUACUGGAGUGUGAAAUAGAUUAGUGGGGGGAAAAAACAGGUGAUGACUGCGUGCGUGGCGGGUGAUGGGCCGGCCCGCCGGCCGUCCUGGAGUACCGGCCAUUCUGUGAUUCUCCAGAUCACACAGAUGACCAGUCAGCCCCUGACCCUUCCUCACCGUGGAUGAAGCAGAGUCCCACCUGUUGCUGCUUUCUCGAGCUGGCCUCCCGUCAUUCAAGCCUUCCGUGUGUGACACUGUGUUUCGUUGUAAAAGUUGUCUGAAAGCCUAUUUGUUCAGCGCUGAAGUUUUCUAAGCGCGUGAACGCUCCAUCACGUGAACUGCGCCUGGACAGGAAAAUGCAGCGUGCUGCUCAGUUGUUCGCGCUCAGGGAUGACGAGAGAAGACUCAGAGACCCUUUUCUUUACUUUCGUGUGCGUUUAUGAAAAGCAAACCACAUACACACUUAUACAAACUUGUAUAUUGGCAUCCUGAUCUUGAAAAUAAAGCUGAUAAAGGAU